UUCAAAAACGCAUAGAUUGGUGGAUGUAGGUACUCUAACUGUAUAAAAGGCAUCAAUCUCGACCAUCUCGUUAUCUGUCCUACAUCAACUUGGGAAAACUUCUCUUUGCUUUGACUCUUCUCUGUCUGGUGUCCCUGACGACCGCUUAUCCUCCUUACGAACAGCAACAACACGACUAUCGUCGCAGAUGCCGUCGUGACCUUCAUUGUCGCCCAGGAGAAUAUUGUAAAAUUGUGUCCUACUUCCCGAAUAAGCAAGGCUUUUGCUGUAUUCGCUGUAAGUGUCUUUGAUUUAAAUAUAAUAAUGAAUAUAUAUUAUGUUGGAACAUUUCAUAAUAAUUUUCUUUACUUUUGAAAUUAUUGGUUUUUCAGUGUUCAAGAAGUUUAUUGUUAUUAUCUUUCUGUUCAAAGGCUUAGGAGUUUUGACAAUCACUAAUGACAAAAAUCGCAUUGCAAUAUUGACUCAAUAUGAAAUACAAUUUUUGUUUUGUAUAUUACAGAUGACACUGGAUAAUUCACAAAACAACCUAAUAUUUCAACUAAAUUAAAUUUGAAGUGAUCAAUGUUCGAUCAAAUUGAAGCAUUUGAAUAAAAUCUUGCAUCCAA